GGAGAGGGUGAGAAGAGCCGGGUGGUCAUGUUUGAGCAGGUGAGAAACUUGACUCUUCUCUCCCUGGGUCUGUCAUGCUUUAGAAAGAAAGUGAGCAGGAGGAAUAAAGUUCCUGAGAAAAGCAAGAGAAGGGCAUAUAAAAGGCAAAUCCAAACCAGAAAGGAAAGAAAGUGAAGAAGAAAGAAAAAGGCAGGGAGGGGGGAGAGACGCUAAUAAAAAAGGGUGAAGGCGCCCCAGGAGGCUGGGCCUCGUCCCAAACCAUCCGUCUUCAUUGUCUCCGUGUGUGCAAAGGCAACUCCCGCAUAAGGAAAAGCCACUAUUGGAGCCGCGGCUUUAUUUUAUAUCCUAUACAUCAGGAGGGAGGCAAAGCUUUAUUUUCGCCAAGAGACAGAUAUUUUAUUUCUCUCUUACGGUUUUAUGUGUGAGAGAUGUCAGGUUGCCACAAUGGAUGGCUAAUGCAUAGGCAAGAGGAAGCCGUGUUGGCAUGCUGUGUGUCAUGGGGUCUUGGGGGGGAGCGGGCCUGGGAUUUAGGGCCGAUGAGACACUCUGGGGGAUUUCUGCUAAAACAUCUCUCUUCAUAAAUCCAGAAGCAUGGUCAGCUCAACAGGGAGAAGAAGGAGUUUUAGAGGGAAAAGAGUUGGGCUUAGUAAUAAACGAACACACAAAGGAACCGCUUACCUUCCAACAGGCUUGGGCAGUGGGGCAAGGUGGCCCUGUGGGAGUGCGGAGACCCGCAUCCAAACACGCGUGCCAUUCGCAGGGAAGUGUUUUCCUGCAUCCAAUGUUGCUUUACUUAAUUUCUUGUUUUAUAUUUUUCUGCCCUUUUUUUCCCCCUUCACCAGAAAUCGCUUUUCACCUCCUCAGAGCCUUGAGGGGAAAGAGCUAUUAAUUUGCAAAUCAUCUGAUCUGUGAAAGGAUCAAGAUGCCUGUUUUUCUCUGCUAAAUCCAAUGUCUUGAGUGGACACACAUAUGCACACAUGAGCCCAUCAUGCUGCGAAUCCUGGGAGCGUGGGCGCCAGAUUGGAAUGCGAGAAAAGCCGCCCCACCCACGGGACCCGCGGCCGGAUUUAGCCUUAGAUCCCAAACUGCAUAAUGUUCAUGUCUUUAAACCUGGAGAGAAGGGGGAGAGGAGGGGACAAAGAGACCGAGGGGAGGGUAUUAAUUAACAUGUUCUGUUCAGGACUUAGACUAGUCUCUCCCGCUUCCAACCUCCCAAACCAUUUCUUAUAAGAGUUGCUUUUAUUCAUUCUCAUGACCUACUCUUUUAAUUUUUUGAUAUCUUGGUUUAUAUUCACUGUGGAGCAAAAAGGGGACCCUGCUCUUUCCCUCUUUUCGGGGGAUCGGAGGUGGCACAGGAUCUCUAGACAAUGAACGUGGGGGACCUGGCCAUACUGUCCUUAGCUGUGGCCUUUGGGGAACACAUUUAACCUUUCCCGGCCUCAAUUUCCCCAUCUGUAACACGAGGGGAUUGGGCUAAAUGAUUGCUAAGGUCCCUUCCAGCUCCGACCUCCUCUGACCAAAUGAGAUAAUGUGUGAAAACACUUUGUGAACGCUAAAGCCGGACGAAUGCCAGGGAUUUUUAUUACGAUUCUAAUGAAUCCUCUUUUCUCCACAUGGAUCUCGGCUGUUUAGCGCCAGCAAGCAGGCUAAAGAGGGCCAAAAGCGAGAAAGCUUAGCGGAGAUGGAAAAGCUCUGUGGUGUGGACAGAAAAACCCCUGCAUCUCCAGAGACAUUCUCUCUCUGUGUCCCCCACCCCCACCCCAGGCCUGGUGGGAAGGGGUGGGGAAGAGGAGGCGGCCGUGCUAGGUAUGAUAUGGAGUCAGUUUGUCUCCAAGUGACUGACAGAGGAACCUGAUGUGAAGGCGAUUUGCAAUUGUUUUUUCCAGGAAGAAAGGAAAGAGCAAGGUGUAGCUGAUUAGCAAGUUAAUUAUUUCAGUACCCCAAGGGUUCCAGUGUGGUGGAGACAGUCCGUGGCACCGGGCUCUGGAGAGACGACUUCCUGACUUCAGCGGUGUGAAGAUGGUACAAUACUUUUUGGUGCUGACAUUCAGCUGUCCCCCAGGCAGGUUCGCUGAUAUCCCUGCUGGUGGAGAGGGGCUGGGGGCUGUCUGGAAAUAUAGCUCUGCUGACAGGGUGGCAGAGGAUUUGGGGUCCAAUCGCUGUUCAAAUUAGACUUGGCAGUCUUUACCUCGGAGGCCUCAGGAGUCUCAGGGGUCUCAGUAGGAGAGAAGUUACAGAAACUUAGAACACAGGAAGGCAGAUGUCGGGGGCUCCUUGUCUCAGUCCUUGUACUGCCAUGCUAAAGCAAAGCCCAGGGAUAGUAGAAAGAGAUCCCAGAGAGCAGGGCUGUGAGGUUCCAGGUGGGAUCUUGGCCCUGGCUCCUGGGAGAUUAAGAAUUCCUCUGCAAGUUUUGGAAAGUCCUACAAGAGCCAUUUAUUCAUAAUCUUUGGGCAGUAAAUGCGACCUCUUUUCACUGCUCAGUGGCUGGUAGGGGAGCAUUUCCAGCUUGUCUGGCCCUCAUUUGGGAGUCUAUCAUUUUCUUGCUCAUGUUCCAGUUUGGACUUAUAGAUGAAAACCCCAAACUUCCCAGCGCUUGUGUUUUUCUUUUCUCUCAGGCCAUUCAUAAUCUAGCCAACAUUGUAGGCCAUUGGCCCACACACAUUUUGAAAGGUGAGCCAGCAGGCCUGUUCCUGUGUGCAAGGUCGUUUUCAUCCGGGCUCAAGGGAGGAUAUAGUUUCCCCUUAAAGGAGAGAAGCAGGAAACGAUUUCUAUGAAUCUUUUAACGAAGGAUUUACUACUAAUUUGAUAAGUUCAAUGCUCUUUUUACUCAUUCUGAGUGAAUAACGUUGUCAGUCAACCCAAGCGGCUGCCGAACCUAUAAAAAUGUGUCCUUUGGUCUCCCUGUUUAACACAUGCAGGGGCUUGGCCCUGCCUCUGACAGACGGGAGGAGUAGAAACAUUCCAGAGAUCAGGUCUCAGAGUGUUAUCUCUUCCUCCAUCCCAAAUCCUCACCCUCCAUUUUAUCUUUCUUUGCUACAAAUGCAGAGACCUCCUAGGGAAGUGUGAAAGGAUGGGUUUUAAUCAGGUUUAGAGAAGGAAGGGGAAUAAGUUGAACCCAAAGAAAGAUGGGGACAGUUGGAAUUUUUUGAUGAUGCUUUGUUAUACCUCUCAUGUGUUGUAUAUUAUAUCCUACAAAUUAUGCAUUUAUUGCAAGAAUCUACAGUGUAUAUGCGGCAUUUGCCAAAUGCUGCUUGGCCAAAA
ensembl:lncRNA